ACUUUUUUUCCUUCGCCUCUGCUCUCUUUCUCGCCGUCUCUCUCAAAUGGAUUUAAGUAUAUGUUUGAUGAUUAAAACCAAGUUUAAUUGGAAUUUGGUUUCUGAAUCUCGAUGUGUAGUGGUUUUGGAUUCUUCUCUGGUCAUCAGCACGAUUUUGAGAGGAUAAACUCAAUCUCAUAAAUCGUCAAUAACUCAACCUCAAAAAUCUGUCUGAUUCAUCUCUCUGAUCAAGUUGAUUCUUUGAAAUGGGAGAUCUCGAUAUUGUACAAGCAACUCAUUAUAGACACAACACAACAGUUUCGUAGUGAGCUUGAACAAAUAACAGAGUUCUCAAAUCAAGGUUUUCCAGCUGAGGAACGGGUGAGAUGUAGAAGAAGAUAGUACGAUGAAAUUCAAUUAGUGAUGUGAAUCUCUUCAGUGAGUUUCAGCAACCAUUGUCUCGCUUAACGAUUAGAUUGGAGCUUCAUGGUUUUAAAACGCGUUUGGUGCAGUGAAAAACGUUUAAAGAGAGAGCUGAGAAUGGAGGAGAAGAAAGAAAGGAGAUCAUCAAACUUGAUCCUUCUUCACCUAAAGUUUCUGUUGUUGUUCCUCUUAAGCUCAGUUGAUGCAGAUCUCACCGAAUCAAGUUUUUUAAAUUGCAUUUCAUGUCAAUUCUUUUAUAGGUUUGUUGUUCAUAGAGAUAUAUAUAUAUAUAUAUGAUUUCAUUUACUAAGCAAAAGAUAAAAGACACUUAUAAGGUGUUGUUACAUUCA